GACGAACGCUGGCGGCGUGCUUAACACAUGCAAGUCGAACGGAAAGGCCCUGCUUUUGUGGGGUGCUCGAGUGGCGAACGGGUGAGUAACACGUGAGUAACCUGCCCUUGACUUUGGGAUAACUUCAGGAAACUGGGGCUAAUACCGGAUAGGAGCUCCUGCUGCAUGGUGGGGGUUGGAAAGUUUCGGCGGUUGGGGAUGGACUCGCGGCUUAUCAGCUUGUUGGUGGGGUAGUGGCUUACCAAGGCUUUGACGGGUAGCCGGCCUGAGAGGGUGACCGGCCACAUUGGGACUAAGAUACGGCCCAGACUCCUACGGGAGGCAGCAGUGGGGAAUAUUGCACAAUGGGCGGAAGCCUGAUGCAGCAACGCCGCGUGCGGGAUGACGGCCUUCGGGUUGUAAACCGCUUUCGCAUGUGACGAAGCGUGAGUGACGGUAAUGAGUAAAGAAGCACCGGCUAACUACGUG
rnacentral:rRNA from 1 species